AUGUAUGCUGAAAAAAAAACAGAAACACCUUUUUUAUACCUAACAAAAGAAAAUGCAAGUGAUGUUGAAUUUAUUUCAGAAACUGCUACUUUUUCUUUACAGAGUGUGGAAAAGUACAAAACAAAUGAUACAGAUGACCAAUCAGAUGAUUUAAAGUGCAAAGCUGUGUCCCAAAUGGAAGUUGAUGUUGUCUGCAGUCAAUUUUCGAGUGAUUUCAUAAGUACAGAUGAAGUAUCCGUGAAUGAAAUGUGUGCUGAACAGAAAACAGAAAUGCCUUCUUUGUAUCUAACAAAACAGAUUGCAGGUGAUGUUGAAUUUAUUUCAGAAACUGCCACUGUUUCUUUUCAGUUUAGCCCAUUAACAGUACAGCAACAAAAGAGUGUUUGCUUAAAGCUGAACAUCGUAAAUGUUGUAAUAGAACAAAAUAAUCCAAAUGAGAUCGUUGAAAUGGCUGAGCCUUGUGAAACGAAACAAAUUUUGGAAGAUGGUAAUUGCUUUUUUAGAGCCAUAGCGUAUGCUAUAAGUGGAAGUGAAGUAGAACACAGAAAAGUAAGACGGGCUGUAGUUACACACAUACUGCAGAAUGAAGAAAAGUAUGUACAGUAUCUCAGACAAGGAUACAGCUCUGUACCAGAGUACAUUGCCACAUCAAGAAUGAAAUAUGUUGGAACUUUGGCGACAGAGAUGGAAAUACAAGCAGCCAGUGAUUUAAUUGGCAUAGACAUAUUUACAUACAGUCAAGACAAAUGGUUUAGAUUUUCAUCUUCAAAUGCUUCCUUUAAUGCACAUGGUUGUCAAGACAGUGGCAUAUAUUUGAAACAUGUAAACAGCUGCCAUUAUGAAGUUGUUGUAUGUGGAAAGAGCAAGGAUGGUGACUGUGUAUUAUUUUGUAAAUCACCAUCUCAACAUUCACUGUGUGAUCUAGCAUCAAAUGUGUCUUUAAAGUCACGUGAGGAUUCUAGUGAGAAACUUGACUGCAGCAAUAGUACAGAGUUCAAAGAAGAAAAACAAAUGAAGGCAAAGAAAAGAUUACAUAAGGAUGAAGAAAAACAAAUGAAGGCAAAGAAAAGAUUACAUGAGGAUGAAACUUACAUUUCAAUUAUGAAAUCCAUCAAUAAAAAAUACAAGAAAAAUGAACAGCAUAAAGGAAAAGUGAAGAAAAGUGUGAACAAAUACAACUCAAAUGAUUUACACUACAAGGCUGUGUCAGAAAUGGAAGCUGAUGUUGGCUGCAGUCAAUCUUUGACUUAUGUCACAAACACAGAUAAGAUAUCUGGGAAUGAAACGUGUGUAGAACAGAAAACAGAAAUGCCUUCUUUAUACCCAACAAAAGAAAAUUCAGGUGAUGUUGAAUUUGUUUCAGAAACUGUCAAUGUUUCUUUAAAGUUUAGUCCAUUGACAUUACAGCAACAAAAGAGUGUUUGCUUAAAGCUAAACAUCGUAAAUAUUAUAAAAGAAGACAAUAAUCCAAAUGAGAUUAUUGAAAUGGCUGAACCUUGUGAAACAAAAAGUAUUUUGGGCGAUGGUAAUUGCUUUUUUAGAGCAGUAGCUUUCGCUGUAAGUGGAAGUGAAGAAGAACACAGAAAAGUAAGACGGGCUGUCAUUACACACAUACUGCAGAAUGAAGAUAAAUAUGUACAGAAUCUUAGACAAGGAUAA
ensembl:lncRNA